GGUACCGUAGCCAAGUGGUAAGGCAGAGCUCUGCAAAAGCUCCACCGCCGGUUCAAAUCCGGCCGGUACCU
rnacentral:tRNA from 1 species